rnacentral:sRNA from 1 species
UUCUAGCCCUGAUAGUAGCGGUUACCCCACAGCAUGUAUUGGCAGAAGCAAGGAGCGAGGAGUAUGAGCGGAUAGCAGGAAUUAGC